CGUCGACGUCGUUUGCUCCGAAGAGGUCGGCGCCAUAACCACGUCGAUCUCGCUCGAUGCGAGAAUCAUGCUGGCACAGAGAUUUGGUGUUAGGGUUCCGUGGAUGAAAGCGGUUUCAAGUGGUGGAGGGAGGUGGCUUCUGUGGCGGCGGAUGCGGUGAGCGCCGGCUUCGAUGUGCUGGAGCGGCAGCAGCAGCUACACGUCCCGCUUUGACGCCAUCUGACACAAGCGUCGUGCAGCCGAGGUCUGCACUAGACGUGUGCUCGACUCCCUCGUCGCCACGAUCUAGCUCUCCGUCGACAGCUCCCUGUCGUGCUGUCAAGCAGUCUGAGACUACUGCCGAUGUGUUGUGGAGAUAUGAUGGGGAAGUGAGAAGCGGCAGGAAAAAACGUGCAGCGAGGGGCUUUUGUCCGUGCGAUUGAGAGAGAACUAGCUUGUUCAGUGGUUAAUUAAGAAGACUUCUAGACGAGUGGAUAUGAAGACCCUUCGAGACUAUUUCCACGUGGGUCUCGGCGAAACUAAGUAUCCUGACAUUGAUCAGUGUGGUGAGCCAUGCCUUCCGUACGAUGCAAGGUAAAGUUUGGCACCAGACACUAAUCAUUGUGGCUCUCAUAAUGAUGCGGCACCCCAAGUUGACGGUGCUCUCUGCCUUGCUGUUGCGCUUGUUUUCUGAACGGUAGUUGAAGCUACAGCUUUUGCAGCACCCGAGUGUUUGGCAAAAUUGGAUUACUUAAUUACCUGUUGUGUUCCAUGCUGGUUAAGGCUUGGGAGGAUUGUUCCGAAUUUGAUAUCGAGGAAGCACACUAGCAACCCAACAACUGGUAAGAUUACGAUGUCACUCGUCAUAAACUAUCGAGGCACGUGGCCAUAGCCAUGGACUUUGCGGCCGGCCUGCUUAUCCUUGCCAAGGCAAAAAUGCAUGACCCAGUGUCCAACUUUGAACGCCGACAUGGACGACGGCCUCAAGUGCUCCAGCAUCUUCUUUGUAGGUAGACCGGCACCGCUAAGGGCUUAGCCAAACUACUUCUUUUUUACCUAUAUUAACAACCAACCGCUACAUAUUGUCAUCGGAUAAAUUUGGACCGAUAGGAUUUUACUAAAGUUUAUUAAUGAUACUUUGUUUCAGAAUAUGUGGAGAGGCAGUUUGCACCAUAGUUCAAGCCAGACUCUAGAUUACAUGGCUAAGGAGCUCACUUAUACUGGCAAUUUUUUACUGUCUUUAUUUAAAUUAAAAUGGUUUAUGUACUCUGUCGGGGCAGUCAUAUGCCAUAUUAAUUUCAGAUGAACAAUUUCCAAUUUAAUGUUGUGCGUGUAUGUAUUGUUAUAUCUAAAAGGAAAAUUCCAAAGAAACAAUAACAGGGUCACAGCUUGUAUUUACA